rnacentral:sRNA from 27 species
GUCAACUACCCCCACCUAAAUCAUAGAUUUGGGAAGGGGCUCGUAGGAGACCAGCCUGAGCGAUGUCCUUCAGCAAAGGGCAGUUGAGCUACGUUCGGAGGAAAGGCUGAACAAGCACUCUGGAGUGCUUCCUCAGCUCCAGACCCUGUA